UGAACACCGCCAGUCUCUAAUGAAGUUUUGUUACUACAUGCUAAGAGAAGCAGCUAAGACAAUAAUUUCAUUUACGGUGCUAGUUUAGACGUACGCUUGCGGAAAAAAAAAUUUGUAUUGAGACUUGUUUAGAUGACAUGCGCGUGCUAGUGAAGAUCAAGUUAAACCAGAAUCAUGGUUUCGAAAUAGAGUAAAACAACAACCAUAAUGGCGGUUUAGAUACAUAAAUUGGUGUUUAUAUGUACAAAGUUAGCUAUUUAAACGGAUUACAACCGAAUGAAGACUUCACUCAGCUAACAGAAGUCAGAGAGGAGUAUUCAUCUGCAGGCUUAGCCAGACUUUCGACCUCUUCAAGUCGGUUGAUUUAUUUCCAUUUUUAAGCUUAGACCAUUAAAAAUCAACAAGGAAAUCAGUUAUAGGAUGUUGACCCAGCUAAGCCGAGGCCACAAGGCGUUGAAAAUGCUGGCCUUCAUGGGUGUCACUCUUUGCCUUCUCUUGACUCUGUCACCCCAUUCCGCUGAGGCGACGCCGGGAUCCAGGGACUGGCCAACCGACGCAGUGUUGACUCCGGCCAGCAGCGUGGAGCUUAUGGAGCUGCAGGAAGACGAGGCGCCUCACAGGCUCCGCCGAUCUGCAUUUCUGCCUUUGUUCAUCCCCUUCGCCAAGCGUGGUCCUAUUCACAGUGACGUCAUGGCUCUGUCGGAUAUCUUGUUAAUGGAAAGAGAGAGAAAGACGAGAGAAGAUGUAAUGAAUAUGCUGAAUGGAAUGUGAAAAUGAAACAAUCAACUUAUAUUUCGCCUUAAAGCUACGUCACAUUUUACAUUAGAUUAUUUUCGCAUUUAUAUCAAAACGAUUUAUUUUAACACUUAGGGCGACAACAUGGGGUUUGUGCAAAGGAAAAAUUCUUGUCUAUUUUAAAAUUUCUUGAAAGUAAAUAUAUUAUUUAAAAAAAAUAUUGGUACCAGUAUUACA